rnacentral:rRNA from 1 species
AUGUCUCGUAAUUUAUUUAAUCGCAUAGCUGAAGCAGUACUUGAGCAUGAUAGUUAUUUUAAGCAAAAAAGAAAUUAUGCUGGAGCUCUUGGAUUGCAUCCUCUGCAAAAGAUGACAGUUGCAAUGCGACUGCUAACGUAUGGAUAUGCCGCUGAUGCCGCGGAUGAGUAUUGUCGGCCUGGAGAAUCUACUAAUCUAGCAUCUUGCAAAAAGUUUGUGAUAGCUAUUUGUGAAGUCUUUGGGGACCAGUAUCUGAGAUCUCCAAAUGGAGAAGAUACUGCUAGAUUACUUGACAUAGGGGAGCAAAGAGGUUUUCCUGGUAUCUUAGGGUGUAUAGAUUUCAUGCAUUGGACUUGGAAAAAUUGUCCUAAAAAUGGCAUGGCAUGUUUAAAGGCCAUGUGA